UAUAGUAGUGGGGGACAUAUUGUUUUUGCCCUGUCUGUUUGGUCUGUCUGUUGGUCUGUCUGUUUGCGCCAACUUUAACAUUUUGCAAUAACUUUUGCUAUAUUGAAGAUAGCAACUUCAUAUUUGGCAUGCAUGUGUAUCUCAUGAAGCUGCACAUUUUGAGUGGUGAAAGGUCAAGGUCAAGGUCAUCCUUCAAGGUCAGAGGUCAAAUAUAUGUGGCCAAAAUCGCUCAUUUUAUGAAUACUUUUGCAAUAUUGAAGAUAGCAACUUGAUAUUUGGCAUGCAUGUGUAUCUCAUGGAGCUGCACAUUUUGAGUGGUGAAAGGUCAAGGUCAAGGUCAUCUUUCAAGGUCAGAGGUCAAUUAUAUGUGGCCAAAAUCGCUCAUUUUAUGAAUACUUUUGCAAUAUUGAAGAUAGCAACUUGAUAUUUGGCAUGCAUGUGCAUCUCAUGGAGCUGCACAUUUUGAGUGGUGAAAGGUCAAGGUCAAGGUCAUCCUUCAAGGUCAGAGGUCAAAUAUAUGUGGCCCAAAUCGCUUAUUUUAUGAAUACUUUUGCAAUAUUGAAGAUAGCAACUUGAUAUUUGGCAUGCAUGUGUAUCUCAUGGAGCUGCACAUUUUGAGUGGUGAAAGGUCAAGGUCAAGGUCAUCCUUCAAGGUCAGAGGUCAAAUAUAUGUGGCCAAAAUCGCUCAUUUUAUGAAUACUUUUGCAAUAUUGAAGAUAGCAACUUGAUAUUUGGCAUGCAUGUGUAUCUCAUGGAGCUGCACAUUUUGAGUGGUGAAAGGUCAAGGUCAAGGUCAUCUUUCAAGGUCAGAGGUCAAUUAUAUGUGGCCAAAAUCGCUCAUUUUAUGAAUACUUUUGCAAUAUUGAAGAUAGCAACUUGAUAUUUGGCAUGCAUGUGCAUCUCAUGGAGCUGCACAUUUUGAGUGGUGAAAGGUCAAGGUCAAGGUCAUCCUUCAAGGUCAGAGGUCAAAUAUAUGUGGCCCAAAUCGCUUAUUUUAUGAAUACUUUUGCAAUAUUGAAGAUAGCAACUUGAUAUUUGGCAUGCAUGUGUAUCUCAUGGAGCUGCACAUUUUGAGUGGUGAAAGGUCAAGGUCAAGGUCAUCCUUCAAGGUCAGAGGUCAAAUAUAUGUGGCCAAAAUCGCUCAUUUUAUGAAUACUUUUGCAAUAUUGAAGAUAGCAACUUGAUAUUUGGCAUGCAUGUGUAUCUCAUGGAGCUGCACAUUUUGAGUGGUGAAAGGUCAAGGUCAAGGUCAUCUUUCAAGGUCAGAGGUCAAUUAUAUGUGGCCAAAAUCGCUCAUUUUAUGAAUACUUUUGCAAUAUUGAAGAUAGCAACUUGAUAUUUGGCAUGCAUGUGCAUCUCAUGGAGCUGCACAUUUUGAGUGGUGAAAGGUCAAGGUCAAGGUCAUCCUUCAAGGUCAGAGGUCAAAUAUAUGUGGCCCAAAUCGCUUAUUUUAUGAAUACUUUUGCAAUAUUGAAGAUAGCAACUUGAUAUUUGGCAUGCAUGUGUAUCUCAUGGAGCUGCACAUUUUGAGUGGUGAAAGGUCA